rnacentral:rRNA from 1 species
CAUCGAUUGAUGGUUUAGUGAGGCCUUCUGACUGGCGCCGCUACUCUGGCAACAGAGCGGCGGAUGCCGGGAAGUUGGUCAAACUUGAUCAUUUAGAGGAAGUAAAAGUCGUAACAAGGUUUCCGUAGGUGAACCUGCGGAAGGAUCAUUACCGAUGUGAAAAAUCCAAGGUUAAACAUCAUUAACCAGUGUGAACUGUGAAACAACUCUUUAGGGGUCGGCACAGGCGUGUGUCGUUAAAUGGCGGAUAGGUUCCUUCCGCCAGCCCCGCCAUUGUGUUUAUGAUAUCACUUUGAACGUUAAAGACUGAGAACGUAUGUAUCAUGCAUUAAAUGUAUGAGAAAGAAGGAAAGAAAAAUGAGAGACAACUUUUGACGGUGGAUCUCUUGGCUCACGUAUCGAUGAAGAACGCAGCCAGCUGCGAUAUGUAGUGUGAAUUGCAGAAUUCAGUGAAUCAUUGAAUCUUUGAACGCAAAUGGCGCUCUUGGGUUCUCCCAGGAGCAUGUCUGUCUGAGUGUCGGAUUUUAUCGAACGCACUCGUGAGUGCGGUAUUGAGGUGUCACGGCGUGUUAGCAAGCAUGACAUCACUCUGUCCCUUGAAGGACAGCAGCAUUGGACUCGCAUUCUCUAUUGAAACUUGAGUGCGAAGGCUAAAGAUAAUAUUUUCUUUCCCCCAAACAUGCAUUA